rnacentral:rRNA from 1 species
UACGAAGGGGGCUAGCGUUGCUCGGAAUCACUGGGCGUAAAGCGCACGUAGGCGGCUUUCUAAGUCAGGGGUGAAAUCCUGGAGCUCAACUCCAGAACUGCCUUUGAUACUGGAGAGCUCGAGUCCGGGAGAGGUGAGUGGAACUCCGAGUGUAGAGGUGAAAUUCGUAGAUAUUCGGAAGAACACCAGUGGCGAAGGCGGCUCACUGGCCCGGUACUGACGCUGAGGCGCGAAAGCUAGGGGAGCAAACAGG